CAAAGGAAUGAGAAAAAAGUUUAGCACGUUCGUCAGAGGUUAAAAACCAUAGUAACACAGGAACAGUUUCUCUCUUACGUCUUGAUCCACGUGUAUCAACACACACACGGACACACACACAUACAUACAUACAUUGACAUAGGUUAAUGCCAUCCGUACAUUACACAGACGGCGUUUUGGAUACUUUGCAAAUGACGCGGAGUGUCAUCUUCAUGCGGGGAGAAAAGGACGCGGAGUAUAAAAGCGUUCGCACGCGUACUUGCACGUUUCAAAUGUAAGGGUGGAGAAAAAGAAUGGAACGUGAAGAUAGACAGAGAUAGAUAGAUAGAACAAGAAAAAGAAUAAAGAGAGAGAGAGAGAGAGAGAGAGAGAGAGAGAGGGAGGGAGGGAGAUAAAGAAAGAGAUAGAGAACACAUCGGAGAGGAGACAUUCUCCAAAAGUUCGCAUAGAAUUGCGUAUGUGUUUGCACGACUCUUUGCUAAGUACGAUCUCCCCUUCGUUUCUCCUCUUUUUCCAUGUAUAAGUAUCACAUUCGCUCUUAACACGUAUACACAUAUACAUAAACAUACGUACGUGUGUAUAUACAUGUAUAUAUAUAUGGAUGUAUAUAUAUGUGAACUAACGCGUAGACGGACGAACGCGACAAAAGCGACGCGUCAGACCCUCCGUCGAGGGAUCGCUAAUGCAGCGGUUGCACGAUUUUAUCUCUCGCAUUCUUUAGCUAAAGGGCUGCUCCAGGGCUGCGUUGGGAUCGAUCUGGGAAUAAAAGGUGAAUGAAGACGGCGACGAAGACGACAACGACAAUGACAACGACAACGGCAUCGUUUGCUUUAACCUGGCACAAAAUAUCGGCUGGAAUCUUAUCGACUAUUAGAUCUCAUCUGAUUAGUAUUAGGAAUAAUGGUUUAAAGGGAUGUGUAAUAGGCUUCUCUGUAAAUGGACGAACGCAUUUUGUUGAAUCUUAAAUAACUAAGGAGCUAAACAACGGUCGUUCUAAGCGUUAUGUUCUAACGUGCAAAGAGAGAAGAACAUCGUCCAAGGGCCGUCUGAAAAAUUGUUAAAAAUUUAAGUGCUUUAACGCAUUAAGAAGGAGGCAAGGAAGGGAAUGAAAUGAGAGAGAAAGAGAGAGAGAGAGAGAGAGAGAGAGAGAGAGAAAGUAAGUAUGUUCUUCUUAAUUAGUUUCGAGAAUAACUUUCGGCUCGUUCCCCUUUUUCGACCGUUGUCAACGAUUUUAGACUGAAAAAUGUAGAUGUAAAGAUAUUUUUUGGAUAUGUGAAUGUUUUCAUAUAUGUAUGCGUACAUCGUUAUACGAUAUAUGUAUAACGUGAAUGUAUAACGUGUGAAUGACCGUAAAAAGGAUGUUUUUUCUCUUUCUAAUUUCUUUUUCCUUUUCUUUUUUUUUCUUUUUCUUUUUUUUUUUCCUUUUUUUGAUUACGUUAGAUCUCACCAUCCUCAAAUUAGUUUUGGCUGGACGUUGAUGAGUCAGACAUAUUAAACGUUAAUAAAAGUCCAUUGGUCAUGUUAAAAGAAUGUUGGAUCGCAUGGUAACUGACUAUUACAUAUAACUAUACGCUUUCUUAUCGUAUACGUAUAAACAUUUUUGAAUUUGUACGUACGAAUUAAUAAUUAAAAGAAGACAAAAAGAAAAAAAAAAGAGGAAGAAGGAAGUAAAAAAUGCAGAAGUACGAAGCAUUGAAUUUUAUACGAUAAAAAGGAAUGCUGUAUAUAUAUAUGUGUGUGUGUGUGUGUGUGUGUGUGUUUGUGUGUCGAAUUAUUAUAGAAAGGAAUUAUUACAAUUUAAAAUAUAAAAAAGUAUUUUCAUGAAAAUAUAUGUCUAUUAUUAUAUAAAGUAUAGAAAUUUCCAUUUGCACGGAGAAUAAUAUUCCUAGCCUUCGGUAGGAAUAUUAAUUGCACGUAUUCGAUCAAUGAUAUAGAAAUGCGCGUGCUUUCUCUCUCUCUCUCUCUCUCUCUCUCUCUCUUUCUAUAUAUAUAUAUAUAUAUAUAUAUAUAUAUAUAUAUAUAUAUAUAUGUAAUAUGAGUUCUAUGCAAAAUUGGUGGAAUUGUUAAUUGAAAUCGAUUGCUUUGAGAAGGAGAAAGAAAAAAAUGAUAAAAGAAGAAAGAGAAAUAAAACUAAAUAAAAAUGAAUUCCUUAAGAGCACGCUUAAACUUAUUGAAAAUUCAAAAAAUUCCGUUGAAGACCAUUUGAAGGUUGCAUUGUAAAUGGGUAUGAACAUCGUACUUGUGAAGAACAAAAUAAACUUUUAGAACUGGUUA